rnacentral:rRNA from 1 species
UACGUAGGGCGCAAGCGUUGUCCGGAAUUAUUGGGCGUAAAGGGCGCGUAGGCGGCCAUGCGUGUCUCCCGUGAAAUCCCUCGGCUCAACCGAGGACGUGCGGAAGAAACUGCAAGGCUCGAGUCCGGAAGAGGGGGGCGGAAUUCCCAGUGUAGCGGUGAAAUGCGUAGAUAUUGGGAGGAACACCAGUGGCGAAGGCGGUCCCCUGGGCCGGAACUGACGCUGAGGCGCGAAAGCGUGGGUAGCAAACGGG